UACGUAGGGUGCAAGCGUUGUCCGGAAUUAUUGGGCGUAAAGAGCUCGUAGGCGGUCUGUCGCGUCGGCUGUGAAAACUCGGGGCUCAACUCCGAGCUUGCAGUCGAUACGGGCAGGCUAGCAGUUCGGCAGGGGAGACUGGAAUUCCUGGUGUAGCGGUGAAAUGCGCAGAUAUCAGGAGGAACACCGGUGGCGAAGGCGGGUCUCUGGGCCGAUACUGACGCUGAGGAGCGAAAGCGUGGGGAGCGAACAGG
rnacentral:rRNA from 1 species